rnacentral:rRNA from 1 species
AUGGGAUUUAGAGAUUUGCACUGUUUUAAUAUGGCUAUGUUAGCAAAGCAAUGUCGGAGACUCUUAUCAGAACCAGAUUCUCUCCGUGCUAAAGUUCUGGGAGCAAAAUAUUUCCCCGAUGGAGAUAUUCUAAAUUGCCAAAUAAAAAAGGGGAGCUCCUACACUUGGCAAAGUCUAUGGGGAGGAAUCCAAACUUUUUAA